UUGAGAGCGCUUAUUCCAUCUCUUGCUUAGCUCUGUGCACUCUCCUCAGUACUAAACGCUGAGGGUGAAUAGUUUUUGCAAGGAAGGUACCAAUAAACAUCUUGAACAAGGUACCAAUAGACAUCUUUAUGAAGUUGCUGACUGGAAAACAACACUAUACAAUCUAUGUAUUGCUCAUUAUACUAUCUCUGUCUUACUCGCUUCAAGUCUCAGUCUCACUCACUUCAAGACAUAGCAGCAAAGAAAAGUAUAUGGAAGCAGAUGCAGAGGCUUACCUCCCGUUCCAAGAAAAAAGGCUGUUCUGCACCAUAAACCAUAUCACCUAUCAAAGCUGGAAACCAUAUACUAUACUGCAAGUUCAAGAUCAUGACAUCAUAUUCCAUAAGAUUUUACAGAGAUCCUCAACAGCUUUAGCAACACUGAUCAUCCCCUGAAUUAACAACUUAAGCAAGGGAUUCUACAACCAAUUUCCCCUUUUUUUUAAAAAAAAAUUUAAAUUAUGGCUCCAAUUGUACUUGUAUGAGAAAGCAAAUUAAUCAGAGUCAAUGCAGCUUUGCAUCACGGAAAAAUGAAAAUAGGUUCUAUGGUCCAGUUUUACAACAAAUGUAACUAUCUGAAUAUACAUGCCCCAAAGUUCUUUGGUCAUGAAGAAACCCCCCAAGUCACCGAGAUGAAACCUUAGCUAUAACACCAUCAGUUUGACCACCUCAAAUCAACAAGAGUUUCACAUUACAUAAUUUCAGGAGACGCAACAUCAUUGAAAAUGAAAUAUCCUAGCUUUUCCCAUUUACUCAUCUCCACCUAAAAUCCAUUUUUCGGGGUAACUAAUCAAGACAUCCAUAUGUCCAUUUUCCCAGUUCUCUCAGUUCUGCUAUGGAACCAAACAACAUAUUCAAUGUUCCAAUCAUAUUCAUCACUACAGACAAUCUUUAAUAGUUGAGAAGCCUAACACUGGACAAAAGCACCAUAACUUGCAAGUCACAAGACACAACAGGAGCAGUUAUGAUAACUCAAAAAUGUAAAAUCUACCAUGCAUGUCCUGCCAAUUCCAAAAAUUACAAAUAGGGAAUUUUAGCAGUGCAACAUAAAAUUGUCCAGUCUAUGAUAACUAGGUGGACUGCCAAGAAACACCAAUUUUGAGAGACAUGUACCACCAAUAAGCUUCAUUUCAUGUCCAACAACAGUAUAAAAAUAAAGUUGUUGCAUUUUAUCCAGCAAUGCUUCCAUGACAAUGAGCAUUAGAACUCAUGUUGUACAAAACAUAUAGAACACUAUAAAUCA
rnacentral:lncRNA from 1 species